AUCCAGAGGGUCCUGGACAGGCUUGAAAAAUGGGAGACCAUGUGAACCAUUGAGGUUCAACAAGGCCAAAGGCAAGUUAAACGUCCCUUGUUGAGCUGGGGCUGUCAGUAAAGAAUACAAAGCACCAUGCUGUUCUCAGCUUUGUCAGGGCUCAUGCACAGACCAAGGGGUUUGCACAGCUAUGUGUAUACUUCAUGCAUCCACAGCACUGUGACAUGUCCUCUACCACCAUUAAAGCAAGAGUUUGUUCAUCACAUUCAGUGCAGCUCCGGUCCUUGUGGCAGAUACUUGGCUGCUGUGAAGGACUGCUGCUAUCCCAGGCUGUGGUUGUAUGUUCCAGUUCCUUGGAUCUUUGAGUUACUGAUGAUUUUCUAAAAUGUUCGCAUCCUCUAUCUUAAAGAAGACUUUCUAAAAUGUAACCCUGUUUUCUCAACAUGCAGCUGAUGUCACACACACACAAAAAAAAACCAAACAGCUGUUGCUUCAGUACAUUUCCAUGCAUGCAAGAGACUAUUUGGCUUGAUUUUAUUUACCUUUCCAUUUCUGACUUUACUCUGGUAAGCACAGAAGGCAAACAAAGGGAAGUUUAAAAUAAACAAAAAGAAAACCAACCAGGCCUCCAGGGGUUGGCGUGAUGUUCUUUCUAGGAGUGCUAUCAGCUGGAGAGCUCUCAAGCCUCAGAAGUAUGAUCUCUGUUCAAGUGGGAAUUGCUAUGAAAUGCAGGACUUACAUCUCUGAAAUGUAGGACUUCUACAAGGAUACACGGUGUUCUUCCACUCAUUAAGGUUACCUGAAGUUACUCAAUCAACACUGAAGAAAUCUCAGAAGAGAUAAACUACUUGAGAAACCCUUUUUUUUUUUUUUCACCUAUGAUAUCAGGAAGGAUGGCAUAUAUUCAGUUUGAAGCCAGUUCUCUCAGGCAGUAUUAGUGUAAUAGAUUUAAUGGUUGGCAUUCAUGCUGGGAGAGGAAUCAUAGGAAUGAGAAACUUUUACUUCCAACUGUCGUUAUAUGUACCCAGUGAGUUUCAAGGCUUACAUGUGUGUACUGAAAGCACAGUAUCUGUUGUCAUCAAAGUUCCCAUCUUCAAAACCUUAAUGUGCAGCAGAUGUAAGCCUUGGGUGGGGAGAUGGAAUAGCAGUGGACAGAAUUACAUUUUUCUGCGUGCUGACUGUGCGAGGCUGAGUGCAAUGAAGCAUUUCUCACAUGCUUUUAAGAAUCAGAGACUAAUUCCAUUAUAUUUCUUUGAUAUUAAGUACAGAAGUGGGAAAGAAAGGAAGCUUGAUGGAUUUGAGAAGCGUCAAUCUGCAGACUGUGCAAAUGAAAAAACACUGAUAUUUUUUCACAAAUUAUUAUCCGUUAUGAAUUAUCCAAACAGUGUUUGGUUUAUUAAAAUAAAUGG
ensembl:lncRNA